rfam:Pongo abelii chromosome X.
UAGCAUUACAGCUCUUUUAGGAUUUGCCUAGCAUGUUUUUCGGUUUUUACUGGAAAGACCCAU